GGAUUCGAAGAAGCUUAAAGCAACAUGCCAAAGUGAGUUACUGCACGGAACAAACCUUGCUCUCCAAAGCAGCUUCAGAUAGCUGCAACUUCUCCACCAUCUUGUUAAGCUCCUCAGAAACCUAUUGGCAUGAGCAGGUUUUAAGUUUCUAUGUAUCAGAUAACAUAGGCUGAUGCACUCAUGAUACUACCUCAGCAAGAGCCUUGUCUUUGGCACGUUCUACCAACCUUAGGCCUUUAAUUUCACUAUAAGCUUCAGAUAGCUCACGGUCCUUAUCUGCAGUGGAAAACGCACAAAGUAUAUAAAACAGAAUAUCAAUAUCUUCACUUGGAAACUCUCCUUGUCAUGCUUGUAGUUGGUCGUCAAGAACAAGUUUCACCUUGUGAGACAACAAUGCAACUCAAUUUACCGUAGCAAUAGUUUUACUUGAAGGAUGGAAUUUGUGCAGUGGAACAUGAAAGAACCUAGGAAGAUAUUUCUUUCUUAUGAAAAGAAGUCCUGUAGAUUUCAUCCUCCUUUUUUCGGGGAGCAUGACUGCAUGAGGAAGCGGAAAGAAGAAAGAACAAAAACGUACCUUUGACUAGAUUCUGGAGGCGAUUCAGCUCGAUCUUGAAGGGGUCAGAACCAUGCAACAGGUUCAAGAAGUCUUCGUCGUCAAAACUGGUUCUUUUCGGUUGCUUCUUCUUCGCCGGCGGCAAGCCCAGACCCGCCUGCGACGAUGACGACGACGACGAGAAAUAGUAGUCGACGGCAUCCUCCUCCAGCAACCCAAACGCCGCCGAUUUGGAUUCCUCUUUCCCUCCGUUCUCCCCCAUGAGCGGAAUCGGAACUAGAGUACAGGGAAGGAGAAGAGCUUUCGACGAACAGUCUCCAAUCUAAUCCGAUGCAGUUGGAUCGAGUGAGUAUAACAAGUACAUGCUGCGAUCCUAAUGGCAGAGAUCAAAGAAACUAAUCCCGCUCAUUGUUACUUGGAACAGCAUGCAAAUGAUCAAAGCAAACAAAAAAACUGAGGAGACGAAAGAGAGAGAGAGAGAGAGAGAGAGAUACAAGAGUGUUCCACCGACGCAGCUGGAGCAGACCAGGAACAGCUCAGCAGCCGUGUCCUAACUGCAGAUUCGUCUACUGCUAAACAACUAAUUGCUUUCAGAGUGAGGCAGGCAGUUCCCCACCUGCUCGCUUUUGAGCUGUAAGCUGUUGCAUUGCACUGCUGUGGCCUGUGGGGGAAAAAAAAUUGAACCAGAUAAUACUGCGAUCGAUUCAGUCCUAUCCAAGUUUUCCAUUUGGUUGUCCUGAUAAAUUUGGAAAUGCUCAUGGUAAGCAGUCCAGAAGUUCAGUAUUCUAUGAUUACGCAUUUGCCGUGGCCUGCGGGAUCGCUGGCUCCUACUUGUCAUUUUCCUUGGGCUUUGAUUAAUUGCCAGACGUACGAGAAAUGGGACGGCAGGGUACUCCACCAUUAACCUUAUCUUAUCAUAAAUUAAAACAAAUUUUGAGAUCAUUGGAGCUGGAGCU